AUGUUUUCCCUACACGUAUACAAAAAUUGGAAUGAUAUAAGAAGAUUAGCAUGGUCCCUGCGCAAGAAUGGAAGAUGGUUAAAAUCCAGAAUUCCAGAGAGUCUGU